rnacentral:rRNA from 1 species
GCACGGGUGCGUAACGCGUGGGGAUCUACCAUAGGGUACGGAAUAACUCAGAGAAAUUUGUGCUAAUACCGUAUAAUGUCUUCGGACCAAAGAUUUAUCGCCCUUUGAUGAACCCGCGUAAGAUUAGCUUGUUGGUGAGGUAAAAGCUCACCAAGGCGACGAUCUUUAGCUGGUCUGAGAGGAUGAUCAGCCACACUGGGACUGAGACACGGCCCAGACUCCUACGGGAGGCAGCAGUGGGGAAUAUUGGACAAUGGGCGAAAGCCUGAUCCAGCAAUGCCGCGUGAGUGAUGAAGGCCUUAGGGUUGUAAAGCUCUUUUACUAGGGAUGAUAAUGACAGUACCUAGAGAAUAAGCUCCGGCUAACUCCGUGCCAGCAGCCGCGGUAAUACGGAGGGAGCUAGCGUUGUUCGGAAUUACUGGGCGUAAAGCGCGCGUAGGCGGUCUAUUAAGUCAGGGGUGAAAUCCCGGAGCUCAACUCCGGAACUGCCCUUGAAACUGGCAGACUAGAAUCUUGGAGAGGCGAGUGGAAUUCCGAGUGUAGAGGUGAAAUUCGUAGAUAUUCGGAAGAACACCAGUGGCGAAGGCGACUCGCUGGACAAGUAUUGACGCUGAGG